GGGAUGUGCUCAGAGCAGAGGGACUAAAGAAACAGCUCCUCUGUUUACAACACACCCAACGGCAAUCUGGGUUCACUGUGAUGAGGGGCACAAAACUUGGGGCCUUCCUACCCUACAUGUGUCCCCCUACACAU
rnacentral:snoRNA from 1 species